rnacentral:pre_miRNA from 1 species
AAUAAACGUAAGUAUGAGUUUCCGUGUCCAACUUUGAUCGUCCGUCUUAUUUACAUUUUUUUAUGAUUACUAUUUUUUUAUUAGAUUGUAAAACAUGAAUAAUACUUUAUGCGUUACUUAUGUU